AAUUUGGGGUGGUGUUUUGUUUUUUGUUUGUUGACUUUUUUGUGUGGUUUUUUUCUUCUUUUGGUAUCCUUCAUGUGUCAGAGAACUCUCAGAGUGGUCGUGGGGGCAGGGAAUGGCUAUGCGCCUUUUUAUCAGAGCUGCCAUAGGGAUAUCAGUAUGCUGUGGGACCUGGGCUACACAAGUACCAGCACUCUGGGACUUGGUCUUCAUCAUUCCUUGUCUGAAGAGGUCCUUUUGACAUCCAGGACUGCAAUCCAAUGUGGGCAAAUCCUGUUUUAUCUGCAGGAAAUUUUGGAGUUGAAGAGGGCUACUGGGUAAAAGGCACUAGGGAAGCAAGAGAGUCCAGGCAGCUUUCCAGCAAUAUUGCUGCUGCUAACUUUUUUACAGGCUGCAUUUCUUCAGUGUCUAACAAGCACAGCUAAAUAUAAAUAUACAUUUAUACAUGACUGUAAGUUUUAAACAGUGUGGCAGGACAGAUGAUAUUACUGGCAUUUGCUAUUUCCUCGAUGCUUCAUUCCAGCACUGCGGAAUAUUCAAGACUUCCCUGAGCUAAAACUUUUAUUUUAUGCUCCAUUGUGUAGAUGCUGAAAUGGCCACACUAGUCAAGAGCAGCACUGCUUUUUCCCACUACAGCCUCUGCAUUUCUGGGCAAAGGUUUCAAAGCUCCUGAUUAACUGCAUGUGGGCAAUGGGGAGACAUGUCCCAGCUACUUUACCCAUUUCAGCAUGGCUUUGCACCUUGGUCACCACCACUGACUAGAACCAGUCAUGCUCUUGAAAGGAGGACUGCCAGCUCUACUCAGCUCCUGAAAGACUGCUAACACCAGUCACUGCAGGACCUGAGACGCUCCUGUUUGCUGAAGAGCAGCAGGACACAGCUGAGGGUCACGUCAUGAGCCCUCCAGAGGACCCUGCUGCUCCUGCUCUGCUGCAGACAAGGCUGCUUUGCUGCUGCAGGGCCAGGACCUUGUGUAGGGGACGUGGGGUCACGCCUCUCACUGCCACAUGUGAUGCACUUCCACACCACUUCCCAAGGGUAAACAGCUGUCACCUUCAGGGAUUUAUAUUGGACUUCACCUACAAGAUGCCAGUGGGAACUAUUAGCAGCUAGGAAGUCAUGUCUGGCAAUGAACUUUAAGGCACCCUCUGCAAGGACUCAUAACCGGGGCAGCCUAGGGCCUGGAGAAUAAACUGAGCUCCUGACAUUUUAAAACCACACUGAUUUAGUAUUUCUAUACAGGAAGGGAACAAGAGAUUAAACAGGAUUGGAAAAAUAGAGCCCACUGGGGUACUGAAGUGCUGUUUUGAUCCUUUAGUGCUUGAGGAUCUUUAUAAUAAAUUCCUCAGAAAUACUCAGCAAAGCUUAGACUAUAUUGACAUUUCUUUUAAUUUAUAAACUCUGAGUCCUCACGUCAAUAAAUUAUGAGGCUCAUGAACAAUGAUAUCGUUCAGCUAUUUCCUGAUUCCCUUCUGCUGAUGACUGACCCAGCAAACAGAGGCUGAGAAGGACAGCUGAGAUGAAUCUUGUCCACUAGAGUCCAGACCAGGCAGCAGGUGAGACUUAUGCUGGAACUGACAAGAGGUUUUUUGUGGUUUCCAGAGAGCUUGGGUAAAUAUGCUUUUUGCUGUAUACUUUCCACCCCUGCUGAAACAUUGCCUGAUCAUGCUUUCAGCUGCCUUCUGAAAUGGCUUCCUCCAUGAAAAAUUCCCAUCAUCAAGAUUUUCCCCUAUUUAUCUUUCUGUUUUCCACGGUUUAUACCACUCUGACCUGCAUUACUAAUCCUUACUUUCUUUAUACAACAAAUCCCACAAGUUGGAAUUACCUUUUUCUUUGAAAACUACCCUCUGCACCACAUACAAGCUCAGCCUGCCUUCUGUUCAGCAGCUGUUUUCCUCAAACACAGCAUUAAAGAAAAGCAGAAAUCAUGCCCUUUUGGCAUGAGCAGUCCAGCAAAGAGAAGAACUUUGUUCCACGUGGCUCUCCCCCACCACCCUUUCCAGUCAGUCCCACUAACAUAUCCUCACCAUUUUAUAGUACACUGGCACAAGCUCAGUCCAUGAGCUUCCAGCUGAGUUCAGUGCUGUGUGGCCCUCAAAGAGCAAGGCCCUUACAGGUAUAUGGCUAUCCAAGUGCUUUGGUACAUUUGGAUUUAGUCCAUUUAUGGUUUAUCUCAUGGUUCUCAGUUUAUCCCUCUUCCAUGGGGUGGAUAAUGGGAUGAUUUGGCAGAGGAGUGUAAAUCCAGUGAGAUGCAUGAGGAGAGGAGAGCAGCCUGGGAGGGAGUCUGUCUGGAAGCUGAUGGGUCUCACAGUGGUGGUCAGUCAGGAGGCUCAGGGUAGGCAGGGUGAGAUAUGUCUGUGCCCACAGAAACCACCUAGUCUUGGUGCCCAAAACCAGCCAUAUUUUGGGGGUUAUCAUGUGAAAACCAGAAGGGAACAGCAGAAGGAAAGGAGAUGGCAGGGAGCAGGAAAGGGUAAUACUGUGAAAGUCUGGGUCCACCUUGGGUGCUGUAUCCCAAAACCAUGGUCUUAGAAGCCUUCUCAGAGAGUGAGCAAGUGCCCUACUUUAGCAUCUUCCUUCUUUCACUCCAAUUAAACAGGGCUGAAUACUUUCUGCCACCUCCACACAUUGUGGGGGUUACAAAGCUGUCCAGCAAGUCAACUCUCAUUGCAUGUCUGGAAACUCCACCUUUCUCCAUGGAGAUAAUGCUUCGCAAAAUCUCUUUCCCCCUUUCUAAGGACUGCAAUCAUUUUGAACACUGCAACGUUUUGCCAGCAACACUUUGGAAGCCUUAUGUGAGUUCCAUGAAAAGCUAUUUCAUCAAGCUAUUUCACAUGUCAAUAUCCAUGUGUUUUUGCUAAUGUUUUCCUGGUUGUGUGUGUUUCAAUUGCAGCUGGAGGACUUGAUGCUCAUUUUAAUAUAAGAGAGUUCAGGUUUCCCAGAUAUUAGGAGAGGAAGAAGUACUUGUGGAGGUCAUUUGUACAUAAGCGUCCUGGCUCACUCUAGGUCACCAGAGUAACACUGCAAUGGGGGUAGCAUCACCUGGUGUGUCUGCUGUGGCUCAGUAUAAAAUCCUCCCCAUUUUGUGGAGCAGUUUCCAGCCUCCUGAUCCUUCCCCCUGCUCUGCAUCCACCUUCCCAGCCAGUAACAGUCCCCACAACAAGAGUUCAGUGCAGUAAUGCCCCUUGUCAAGUGUUCUGUGUGUCCAGCCACAGUCCUGCACCAAGCUGCCUGCCAAGGCAACACAAAGCCUGAAGCUGUUCCCAGCAGUGGCUUCCUGGCAGGGCUGGUGUGCCCCAGGAGCUCCUGUAGGAAGGGGCAUGACCAGGGCACUGGGUAUGCAUGCUAAGCACAGCAGCUUCUUCUGGGAAUCCCAACUGUCCCCAUGGUGUGGAUGCCAUGGGACAGAGAGAGAGAAACGGCAAGGGUUUCUCACAGUGGCUUGUGAGAAGUUUUAGGGAGUUAUAAGGACGUGAUAAAUUGUUAAGCAUAAAAAAUCUGCAGGUGGUGUUUUUCUACAACUUCUUUCUUUUCUUCUCAAAGACAGUGUGUGAAGAAAAUGCUUUUGUUAGUUACCCAAUCAAAUAGAAUCUAUCAUACCACUCUACAAAAACCGCGGGGUUCUGGUGAGUAAAGCCUCCUUUUCCCUUUUCUACAAUACUGCCUCCUGCCUGUUCUUGUUAUUCUCGGCACAAGAGUAAUACACACCAUGGAGGCUCGUGAGAUGUGCCAUGGCUCUCUUCCUGAUCCUCUGCUGGCCGCAGGGAGCCUCCUGCAUUAGUGGCAGGGGUGCCAGAACAGUGAGCUUGGCACGGAACGGGCCCUGGGGCUGGGGCAUCACCCACCACGUCCCUCCCAAGUACUGGCUGCUCCCGGGAUCUGUCUUCCAGGGGCCAUCCUUGGGAAUGAAGCUCUCACCACGGUCAGUGCCAUCCCCCCGGCAGAUGUCACUGCUGCCGCACAAAUCCCCACCACACAAUGCUCCCAUGCCGUUCGCAGUAACUGAGAAUGGGACCAGGUACCUUUGCACAUUUUGCUUCCUUCAUCGAUUUUUCUUGCCACUGCUCCCACACUCUAGAUUGGAACGAGGCCUGAAUCAUUUCCAGCUCCUAGGGGCAUACCAUUCUCAAUUCUCUGCAGAGCUGACACAUGCCUGGAGUGGAGCAGGAGCUCUCACACUGCUUGCCAUGUUUAGGGCUUACUGCAAAACCUCUCUUCCUAAAGACCCCAUUGAUAAAACAGUGGGUUAUGAUACCAAUAACCAGUGCUCAGCCAGAGCUAGCAGCAGACCAUGAGCUCUAGAUGGCAGUCUGAUUAUUUUUCUACUGCUUCUUGUUUGUUAUUUAGCAUUUUGUCAGUUUUCCCCCUAUGCUGUUGCUGAAGUGACAGGAUAGCCCUGGGAUCUCAGUCUUGAGCCAUGUGAAACACCAGGAUGCUUUCAGCCUUUAGGCUGGGAAGGAGUAGAGGGCUGGAUGCAGACUGCUAGUAGUUUCCUGCAGUGCCCCCCUCAGUCAAUUCAGCAGCUAGAACAUAAGUGGAAGUCUUUAGUGCUAAAGUUCAUGCUUAUAUUUGUAGUUCUAUCCCUACCUAGCCCUGUCCCUCCACCCUGUUACAGCUUGUGCUGUUCUGACUUGCUUUCUUUACACUACAGAUCCCUGUUUGUAUGACUUUCUAAUCUCCUGUGCCCAUUCACAACUGAAAACACUGUAUUGAAUGCUCUCCCUCCUUUUAAAUCAGUUUCGUUAAACCUGGCUCUGUAGAGGAGAUUCUUUGCCUCUCCAUUUGCUUUCCCCAUUGUUUUGGGGCCUCUUAAAGCCACCUGAAACUAAAUGAAGUGUAAAAUCUUCAACUUCUAUGGGGCUGUGCCAGAAAUUAUUGAUAAAAUGCUCUUCUAUAGUCCUUACCUACAUUGUAAAAAACACUCUGAAGUUUGGCACAUGCCAUUUCAGCUAUGCAAUGGAGUGACAGGGACUUAAUAUGUACCGAGUGUGUUAUGAAACAGAUAACAACAGCUGGUAACAGCAGAACUAACCACAAAAUUCUCGACCUGCUGCCACCCACUGGUGUCACUGAAUUAUUUUGCAAUGUCUGAAUUCUCCCUUGUUUAAGUCCAGUUUUCACUUUUAAAUGACUUAAAAUCCAAAGAAGAUGCCUAGGAGUUCCUUUUCCCACUGUGUGCCACUAAGUCCAGCACAUCAUCCUUCUUGGCACAGAGCAAGGCAAUGCAGAGGAAGAUAGAAAGCUUCUCCUGUGUUGAGAAGACAGCAACAACUUUUUUUUCAAAGACAGAGGGAUUGGAACAGGUGGGUAAAUUUUCAAGCUUGUUCUCUAGCCCAUUUCUUGACUUCCAUUUACUACACAGGCAAGUAAAUCCACAACUGAUUUUCUCCAUAGGCAUUUCUGAUAGUAUCUGCACAAGGAGAAGGGGGGCUGAUGUUAUGGAGAGCACGAACUGCAGGCACCACUUGUCCCUAGGCAACUCCCACCAAAAUCACCAGUGUCCUCUGCUGCUUCCCACAGAGGGUUGUAAUUAAAUACUUGACUGUUCCCGGCACAGGGAGGGGCAGAGGCUGGCAUGAGCCUGGCUAGAUCCCACCAAGUCCCUGUCACCCUUCCAUGGUGCACCGGGUGCUCCGGCACCUCCCAGCUCUUGCAGGGAAAAGCUGGCAGCAGCUUCCUUGCAGGGGUAAGGGAGGGGAUGUCCCCUCGUCCGGCUGACCGUGAAGGGGGCAGGAGGGCCCAUGGGCAAGCAGCUGGUUGCUGCAGCCAGGCAUGUGACAGAUGGACAGCUGGCUGAAGGGGAGUGCUCUGCCAUGCAGGACAGUGAGGCUCCUGCAGGGGUGAAGGAAGCAAGGGAAGAAAGGUUAUGAGAUUCAUCAUAUUUGGCCUCUGCAAACCUCCACAAGCAUGAUAGGGGAAAAGAAACGUGCAGGGAUGCUCUUGUUCCUGCAACUGACACCACCAAGUGGGGAGAGAACUCUCCCACCUCUAGACAGAGACACCAAGUCAAGAACCAUGGGAAGAGUCGGACUGACUGCCACGGGAGGGGGGACACAGGCCACUCUCUUCCAGCUACAUGCAGCUUUCAGGGGCACACUUUCCUGCAAUAACAUGAAAAAACAGGCAGUUUUAUAGAAACACAACACAGGUUUCUAUUUUAAUGAGAAAAUAAUUAUAUACUUGCAUUGUAGGCCUCACAGUCACUAUAAAACAGAAGCAGGAUAACAUUUAAGUGGUUAACAUACAGAAAGCCAGGUAUUGUUGAAACUGGUUGAUAAGUCAUGACAAAGAUGCUGCCUUUUGGUUGCCAAACAUGUCAAUACUACUCUAUUUUCCCUCAGAAAUGUCAGUACAGAGCAAGAUGAAGCCCAAAUAGGCAGCUUUAAAAUCAAAUUGUUCAGAAAACCUGCACUGUAACCUCAAACCAAUUAUAAUCACAAAUGCUAAUGCUUAACUAUUUUUCAAAACACAGUUUCAUUAAAACCAGUCUUUGCCACGGGAAAGGAUCUGGGCAUUUCUUUUGUGGAGACAAAGUUAACUCUGCAAUAGUGCUCUUUUGUUGCAUUUGAUAUAGUCAUAUAUAGAUAGAUAUGUAUUACUGCCGUAUACUUAUAAACACCUAAGCUUGGUAGCAUGCAAAUGAAAUAACAGAGGCAAGUAAACUGCAUCUCACUCUUGUUACCACAGCACUAAAUGUGCUGCUGACUAUAAGUGUCCAUAAUUUCUGGAAGAGAAAAACUGCUGGGUAAAAAGUCUGUCUGUCCUGGACUGGAAUACUUUUGUUGCAGGGGAUGAGAGCAAAUGCUUCUAUCACAGAGAACAAAGCAUGAAAAGAUGUCUUAUGAUAGGUGAUUAUUGUCACUGGCUUCCAGUGAGAAAGCUGGAAGGAAAAACAGGCCUACAGACUAAAGAAAAUAAAGAUGCAAGUUCCUGGAAAGGUAGUCCAGGGCUGACCCAGGUUUCAGGAGCAAAUACUGGGGGAAACUCUGCCAUUUAAUGCAAGCCCACCACACCACAGAGGACAUCUCCUAUUCUCAGAAAACUCCUUUUCCUCCCUUAAGCUCUCCCCAGAGGCCAGGAAUGUUCUUGAAACAGGUGUGCAGAGCUCAAAUCUGCAGCUACAUGACAUAUGGUCUCGCUAGUGCUGCACUGGUGCUGGUGCUUUUCCUACAGCUGCACUGUAACAACCUGCCCUGAGGCAGGAAUUACCCUGGAUUCACCCUUGAUUACCAUGCCUGAAAAACAGGUUCACUUCAUUAGAUACAUAACUCCUUCACAGGCAUGGAACCUCCCCAUGGUGCCUCUCCUUGAGAUAAGCUUGCUGCCCUCAUCACAGUGAACUCUCGGUUCAGCAGGUUUUCUUCAGUUCAGUAGCACUUACAGAGGAAAUGGAAAGAACUGAGUCAGUGGGUAGAUAUAAAUGUAUUUACUACAGAUCCCUGAAAAUAAGCCUGAAAAUCAUAAGUGUCCAAGGACAGAAAUCACAUGCUGGAGGAACUGAAGAGUGGUGAGGGUGAAUAAUUUGGUUGCAAGCUCUGUGUUUGUUUAAAAAAAGCACCAGAAGUAUGUUCACAGUAUCGGUGCUCAUUUUAAAUGAGCUCACUGUUUCAGGAUAAAACAGCACAGCAGGUCAUGAAACCAAGGAAUGGCUAAGGGAGGACACAGUAUUCUGGCUGAUGACUUUUUAAAAGAUACCAAAAUAAAAACUGAUUAUAAAAAAAGAAGGAAUAUUUUUUAGAGAAAAAAGGUUUGAUGUCUUUUUUCCCAUCACCUCCCACAUUUUUUGGUUUCUAGUCCAGAAAUUAUGGUUCCCAGUUGUAAAAUAUUCCUAUUGUAUUGCUUGGUGAUAAGAAAGAGUAAACCCGCAGCCUCUAUACUACAUACAAAUACAAAGCACAAGAAUAAAUACCACAUUUCUUUUCCUAAUCGUCAGCUUACAAAACUGGUCAAUACUUUGCAAUUGUGACUCAUGCAAAUACCAUGUUGGGUCAAAUUUUAAUAUCACAAAUACUGCAUUAACUCAGUGCCUUAUUUUUAUAUCCCCUUUCGGAAAAAAAAAAAAAAAAUAGCACUCACCCCUAUAGCUGGUAAACAGCUGUGGAGAAAACAAUCAGUACACGCACUGCCAUACACUUUGUGGUAUGCCAGCCUCAGGCACUCCCCCACACACACGCACACACACACAUCCACACUAAUCCUUCACUGCUGAUCCCAAGCCUAAGCAAUAACUAAAGGCUCUAUGGUUUGCUUGUAGCGCUGAAAACACUGGCUGAACGGCUAAAAUAAUAUUUUCUUCCCUUGUCUGCUCUUCCUUGCUCAUUCCUUCCAACUCAUUAUGCCCUUUAGCUUUUUUGUUGCCUGGAAACGUGAAGACUUCCACAAAGCACUCUACUUCAAAGGCUUUUUAAGUUGUAUAAAUAUAGUUGAAGACAUAACUCUCUUUCUUCUUUAUUUCAUACCUCUUUCUAGGCCAGAGUCUGGCUUAGUUCAUUUAUUGCCUCAUUUAAAAAUUAAAUGUCCUUUAUUUGUAUUCCUUUCCCACUACCUUUCUACUUCAAAUUAUCCAUCUUCAAAGAUUUUACACAUAUGCCAUUCUUUCCCACCCCACCAUCAAAAAAUAGUUGUCAUCCGCUAAAUACAGAUUUUCUACUUAGAAACUUUGUUGCGUAAAUAUGCUCUGAGAACCUGGAGUUCAGGUGAUAUUGCAAGCAUAUAGGAUCCUAAAGCUAAGGUAAUCCAUUUGGCUUAGCUCUCAUCCCCAUCUAUUCCACUCCUUAAGUGUGAUGGCUUGUGUUUGCAACACAAGGAUUGUUUGACUGAGUUUGCUGGAUUGUACAUUUGCAGUAACUGCCUCCCUGUUUGGUUGGGUUUUUCUUGUUUUAAACAGAUAAAUUGCUAGAAAGGGGACCAGAACCUAUUCCACCCCCCCCCCC